rnacentral:rRNA from 1 species
AUUGAACGCUGGCGGCAGGCCUAACACAUGCAAGUCGAACGAGUGGCGGACGGGUGAGUAAUGUCUGGGAAACUGCCUGAUGGAGGGGGAUAACUACUGGAAACGGUAGCUAAUACCGCAUACCAUCAGAUGUGCCCAGAUGGGAUUAGCUAGUAGGGGGGGUAACGGCUAACCUAGGCGACGAUCCCUAGCUGGUCUGAGAGGGUGACCGGCAACACUGGAACUGGGACACGGUCCGGACCCCUACGGGGGGCAGCAGUGGGGAAUAUUGCACAAUGGGCGCAAGCCGGAUACAGCCAUGCCGGGUGUGUGAAGAAGGCCUUCGGGUUGUAAAGCACUUUCAGCGGGGAGGCGUUACCCGCAGAAGAAGCACCGGCUAACUCCGUGCCAGCCGCCGCGGUAAUAC